rnacentral:lncRNA from 1 species
AAUUUCUCUUUUCACGGGGAAGUUCUGGAAUGUACAUUCAAAACGAUGUGUGGGAGUACGAGCUAGGUGUGCCUUGCAUCCAAAAGUAAUUUGAUGACAAUUAGUGUCAAUGGAGUAAUUUUGUGGGCAGUAUUGGUCACAUGAGAUCUGGCUAAGGUGAAGGUAGUGCACUUUUAAGAUCACUCAAGGUGGAUGGAUCAUGAUGCGUGAUUGGGUUGCUAAGGUAGUAUACCAAGUAAAAACAAUCUUGAAUAGUGAUAGAGUGAACAUUCUUAACUUCCAUCAGUCCUCUUGAGAUGCAUCUCCAUAUUAUGUAGCAAAUCGACUAGCAUGUUCAAUUGUCAAUUGAUUGUCUUCAAAGGAGAAUAAUUGGAGUUAGGCAUCUUGAACCCUCUAGGAUAAGGUGUUGCAUCCCCAUAGUAUGGGUGUGGUUUUCUAUAUACAAGCAUGAUGUUUCCAACAUUGUAAGCCAGGCGUUGUAUUGCUUGAUCCACUAACAUUCAGACGUGCUAAGGAUCUUCAUCAAGGGCUAGUCAACUAGGUUGACCCCAAGGUAAUUGUGGUGGUCUAACUUAAUUGUCGAUUGUCCCAUUAGACCUUUGAGGAACAUGCCCAGGAUUAGGUAGAACCAACGCUUCACCUAAAAGCCCUUGACCAUCUUGCCUCCAGUUGGAGAUGGUGUUCUACCUUGAUUGCCGGUUACAACAUUGAACCUAUAUGAGGCAAGUGGUAUGUUAAGUUGAGGUAUUAUCCCAACUGGCUUUAUAUUGUCAACAAGGGAUGUUGGUGCAACUGGUUGUAAGUUCUCUACAUUUUGCAAUGGCAUGUACUGCUGGAUAAUGAUUUGCCAAAUUGCCAUUGUUAUUCCCAUUGAAGUUGACUUGACUGAGGUUAGGUAAAUUAACUCCAAAAACAGUCCCGUUAUUUUGGGUUGUGCUGGUGGCUUUAGACCUUUGUAAAAUCCAUACCUAUGGUGGGGGAGAAACUACUUGUCCUAUUAUGCCAAAGGUAAUUGUAGUAAAUAUUGAUGAAGGAACAUAUUUGAUAGCUAUAGGGUUUGGUUGUAUUUAGAUUGACUGGGUUGAAGAUCCAUACCUAGGUAUAACUCCAUGAACAGUGUUGACAAUCGUUAGCUUAAUCAAUUCAACGAACUACUUCAUCAUGUGGUUGGUUGGUUUAUUCAGUUGCUUGUCCAACAUCUUCUUCAUGGAAACCAACAUUAUAGGGUUUGGCUCUAAUCAUCUUCUUUGCUCAUCAAUGAGUUGUCCUAAGAUGUCAAUGUCCCCUCCUUGGUCUUAUUCCCUCAUUGAUUGAGAUUUUGAUGAGUCAAAGCAUCCUAUCCUAUCAUCACCAGGUUGUAAUGAUUAGUUGUUACUACUGGCAUUAUUAAGAUCCAAUUAACCUUAUUCUAGCCAAUUUACUUCCUCAAAUUCGCCACAUAGUUCCCAUAAGGAGUGCCAAAAAGAUGUUUAGUUGGGAUUGGCCCCGUGACAAAGUAUCUUUUAUCAAAGUUUGUUAUUUGGUUUUUAUGAAAGGAGAUAAGUUCUUGCGGUGACUCCAGACAAGAAAUAUCAUAGGUAGACAAGACACAAUGACAACUUCACUUCAAACAACACUGUACAAAUGCAAACCUUGUUGGAAUUUAAUCAACAAUAAAGCUUGGAAAAUACAGCUACUUCGAUAUAACUAAAAAUAAACAAACUAUGUUUGAAUAUAAUCGAUGACAAAGUUUGAUAACAUAAAGAUGUAAUGCCGAAAUUUAACUGAUAACGCGGCACCCAAGAUAAAGAUACACGUAGAAUUUUAAUUGACAAUGUGAGUCUGGAAUUGAAAGUAAAAUGUAAGAAAGUAAAUAUAACUGGAGGUAAAUUUGUUCGUUUGUGCGACGAGCUGGGGGAUUAUAGUAGAUGCACAAUUGUAUUUAUAAUGGAUGUGCAAUAAUUGUCUCUGAGCAGUUCUGCUCUAGUUGUAGCCAUGUUCCCUUAUCUCCGAAAGUUUUGUACUCAUGAUCACACAAUGCCAUGAUUUUGUAUUCAAACAAUUACUCCUUUAAUACUGCAUUCUAAUUGUUUCACGACCUCCAACACUUUAUUGUCCCUUAUCUUCGAAAUUGCAACUUCAUCUUGAUACUCUUCAUGCGUUCAACUUUCUUCUGGGGCAUUAAUUGAUAAUAUGUUGAUCUCAUUAAUUGAUACCUUUGUCGAUUAUUGUCAACCAUUCAUCGUCAUCUAUCAACAACUAGUCAUCAAUGCUCAUCAAUGUACUUUAAUAUCAAUUAUAAUUCUUAUGGUUGUCCACAAUAGGUCAACUCCUUAAUACUCCAUGCUAUGGUCACGUGCUUAUUUAUAUCGACAACCUGACCAAUUUUAGGUGCAAACAAUAACUAUAGCAAGUUUUGGGGCUUAUCUUGCAAUUAUCCAAAAGGAAAUAGAGAUGUACACAACUUGGGAAAACAUGAUUCCAAAAUUGUCCCAAAAUCCAAAUAAAGCAUAAAUAACCAAAAAAAAAAAGAGGCAAUCUCUUACCUAUUUAAAAAUAAUAAUAAUAAUAAUAAGAACAAGGCGAAGUAGCUUGAUAUUUUCUUUCUUAUUAUCAACAAUCGGCUUUUCUACUAGUUGGUGGAAAGGUGUAGCAGAAAUCUGAUACCCUCACCCGAAGAGAUUACCAACAAAGAGCUUAAGUCCAAGUUUGUUGACAAAUCAAGUUAGAUCCAUUUUUACUCAAAAGCUUAAACUAUUAAGUCAUAAGCUAAUUAUGAUAUAUUAGCUAUUUC